UUGAACCCAGGAGGGAGAGGUUGCAGUGAGAUCGUGCCACUGCACUCCAGCCUGGGUGACAGAGAGAAACUCUGUCUCAAAAAAAAAUUUCACCAUGGCAAUGUAAAUUGAUAGCUUAUCCUUACAGGUGCAGUCACCUCCCUGCCCACCAGACACAAAUGCAUAUCUGAUUGUUUCCCUGCCCCAUUUUGUCUAUGUCAUCUUACAUUAAAAAAAUGCAGAUUCACUGAGCCAGAAAAAGGCAUGAAUUUUUUCCUACCCUAUUUUUUCCUACCCUCUCUUACAUGAAAACUGUGUACUUCUCAAUAGCCCAUCCUUUCCCCUUUAAAUUUGGAGCCCUCAAAAUCAUCUUCGGAGAAAGGCAUAGACCUCCUGGGCACACGUCCUUAAUUUUGACAAGUAAACCUCCUAAAAUGAUUGAAACUUGUCUUGUCAUUUUUCUCGAUUGGCAGGUUGUUGGAGUGAUAGUGUUAGAUUUUAGUUGCAAACAUGCUUUGGAAAAUCACUUAUAAUAAGCCAAUAUCACGCUGGAGGAUAUCUUUCAACAGCGAUAAUUAAAAUUUUUGAGUGGCUGAUUGAAAGAUUAUCUUUCUAGCCGUAAUUAAAUAAAGUGAACAUUUUGUCUAAAAUGGCUCCUUCAAGUUUUUGACUAAUAAAAAAGUAUAGCUAUCUGUGUUCUAUAGAACAUUGUAGACAGCAGAUGGUAGAGAUCAUUAUAUACCCAGCCUAGGCAACAUGGCAAAAGUCCAUCUCUACUAAAAAUACAAAGAAUUAUCUGGGUAUGGUGGUGCUUGCCUGUAGUUGCCAUUACUUGGCAGUCUGAGGCGGGAGAAUCACUUGAGCCCAGGAGGCAGAGGCUGCAGUGAGCUGUGAUCACGCCACUGCACUCCAGCUAGGGCAACAGAGUGAGACCUCGUCUUGAAGAUUUAAAAAAUUUAAAAAAGAAAUCAUUAUAUACAUUCAAUUUAUAGGCAUAGAGAAUGUUUUGCCUCAUCUUUUCUCAAGAAGAUAAAUAUAUGACUACAUAUAUUCGGUCCAUAAAGCCCAUCUAUUAAGUGAAAACUUCACAUUUCUUGUCUCCCUGCAUUUUAAAAGUGAAGGUAAAGAAAAUGUAGAAAAUAGAAUCCCAGGUUAAAGUGACCCCAUUGCAAGAACAGUAUCUCUGGGAAUAAACUGACAAUCCACAGCUGGCAGUCUGAGGUGGGAGAGUCACUAUGUUCCAGUCACUAUUACCAGAAAUUGAGAGCAAUUCAUCCGCAUGGAGCAUCUUCACUCAGUCUGGCUCCCCUCUUACACCUUCCUCUUGUUCCUGUUUUCCCUUCCCACUUGUCCUUACAUGUUUAUUAUACAUCUGCCUCUGUUUCACCAUGAAGACUUUGGAAGCCACGUGUCAAAGAAAGCAGGACUCCCAUCAGCCAGAAUCCCUAAAUGGCUGUGUGACUCAAAGAACCCUGACAACCAGCAACCACCUUAUCCUGAUAAUGUGAGCAAGAAAUAAUCUCCUUCUUGUGUUUGAGCCAAUAAACACUUUGGGACCUAUUUCUGACAACAGUUACCCUACUUGACGUACAAAAAAAAAAGCUUGUAUUGGAAGAGGAUGCCAUACAAAAACCUGAAAUACAGGCCAUUGGCUUCAUGAUUCAGUAACAGGCAGUGAAGGUAGAGAAAAUGUAGAAAAUAGAAUCCAAAGUUAAAGUGAAUCCAUAUCAGAGGAAACAUAGCAAAGGCUGGAAAGAUUAUGCAGCAGCAAAUCAGGAAAGGAAGGGGAAAAUGAGGUGAAAAUUGCUAGCUGCUCACCAAAACCCAGUUUCCCCUCUUUUCCCGGAACACAUAGCUGAACUAUCUUUUUAAGGCUUCUUUGCAGUGAGGUAGGACCAUUCGCCUCAGUUCUAGCCAAAGAAGUAUGCACAAAGGUGAUGUGCUUGCUGUAUUUCUUUCACAAAUUCAACACCAAUCCCCAGGUGACCUCAGGAGCCAUGGGAUGAGAAUGCCAAAGCCUCUAUCAGCCUAGGUCCUCACCUAGGUCCCCAACUGACUGUGUGUGAAAAAGCCACCCAAUAUUCUGCCUCCAACAUUUCUUUUUUUUGAGACAGGGUCUGGCUCUGCUGCCCAGGCUGGGGUGCAGUGGUGCAAUCACAGCUCACUGCAACUUCCACAUGCCGGGCUCAAGUGAUCCUCUCACCUCAGCUUCCCAAGUAGGUGGGACUACAGGUGCACACCACCAUGCCCAGCUAAUUUUUGUAUUUUUUAAAGAGAUGGGAUUUCACCAUGUUGCCCAGGAUGGUCUCGAAUUCCUGAAUUCAAGCAACUAGACUGCCUUGGCCUCCCAAAGUGCUGGGAUUUCAUGCAUGAGCCAUCACACCUGGCCUGUAACCUUCUUAGACUUUUUAUAUAAGUGAGGCAUAAAGUUCUACAUGUUUGAGCCACAGUGGGAAGGAGAUUAUUUGUUAAAGCAGAGAGCUUCCUCUAACUAAUUAAAAUAUGCUAUAUAUUAUAUACAGAAUUUAAGUAGGAAGAUAAAAUAUGGAUCAUUUAUAUUUAAACAUUUUUCAAUUGGGAAAAAUAAAUAAAAUAAUUAGAAUGAACUCUUUGUAAACCAGUAGUAACAUCAUGAGUUUAUAAUUGCUUACAUUUUUUCCAAACAUGUCCUCCCAUAGAAGAUAUGUUUCAACUAUUCAUAGAAUCUAGAAUAGAGGAAAUAAAAAGGCAAAAACAUAUUAAGUAAAAAAGAGCAAUACAUUUUAAAACAAUUUGCACUUUGAAGGGUAUUCAGAUCAUAAUGGCAUUUUGAUUAUCAUUUUCUGUCUUAUCUAGCCAUUUCUCUAUUUAAUAAUUGAGUUCUGGGUGUCCAGGAUUUUAGUCCUAGCUCAUUGUUUAAAUCUCAGACUACAAAAAAAAUAGCCUUAAACAGUAACAUGCCAUGAUUUCCUCAUUUAUAAAACAGAGAGAUUGCUGGGUACAGUGGUUCACACCUAAUCCCAGCAUUUUGGGAGGCUGAGGCAGGAGGUUUGCUUGAGCCCAGGAGUUCAAGACUAUCCUGGGCAACAUAGUGAGACCCACAUGUCUAUUAAAAAAAAAAUGUAGGCCGGGCGAGGUGGCUCACGCCUGUAAUCCCAGCACUUUGGGAGGCUGAGGCGGGCAGAUCACGAGGUCAGGAGAUGAAGACCAUCCUGGCUAACACGGUGAAACCCCGUCUCUACUAAAAAUACAAAAAAUUAUCCUGGUGUGGUGGCAGUCUCCUGUAGUCCCAGCU
rnacentral:lncRNA from 10 species